rnacentral:rRNA from 1 species
GAUGAACGCUGGCGGCGUGCCUAAUACAUGCAAGUCGAGCGAACAGACGAGGAGCUUGCUCCUCUGACGUUAGCGGCGGACGGGUGAGUAACACGUGGAUAACCUACCUAUAAGACUGGGAUAACUUCGGGAAACCGGAGCUAAUACCGGAUAAUAUAUUGAACCGCAUGGUCCAAUAGUGAAAGACGGUUUUGCUGUCGCUUAUAGAUGGAUCCGCGCCGCAUUAGCUAGUUGGUAAGGUAACGGCUUACCAAGGCAACGAUGCGUAGCCGACCUGAGAGGGUGAUCGGCCACACUGGAACUGUGACACGGUCCAGACUCCUAGGGGAGGCAGCAGUAGGGAAUCUUCCGCAAUGGGCGAAAGCCUGACGGAGCAACGCCGCGUGAGUGAGGAAGGUCUUCGGAUCGUAUAACUCUGUUAUUAGGGAAGAACAAAUGUGUAAGUAACUAUGCACGUCUUGACGGUACCUAAUCAGAAAGCCACGGCUAACUACGUG